ACCGUCCAGCGCGCGCAGGCGCAGAAGCCGGAGAAGGCGCCGGGUCGAGUCCCUUCUUCCGGUAUUCAUCCACCUUCUCUCCGGACUCUGGUCGCGGCCGCCCGUGACCGCCUCUCCAACCCCAGUGGGCGGGUGGCAGGACCAUGGAGAACGCUAACGGUGCCAGCCAGAGCGCAGCCGAGGAAUCUCUCCCGGCCGAUGGGCGAGCCGGGAGCACCACUCCGCAGGGAGAACAGGGCCAGCUCCUUUAUCACGAGGAGACCAUCGACCUCGGUGGAGACGAGUUUGGGUCUGAAGAGAACGAGACUAUAUCGGAAGAUUCUAAUCAUUUUGUAGAUAAGCUUAAUGAGCACAUGAUGGAGAGUGUCCUCAUUUCUGACUCUCCUAACAAUAGCGAGGACGACACAGGUGAGCUGGGCUGUUUGCAGGAUGUCGUGGAGCCUGCAGACGGUCACGCUGAUCCCAGACCGGAAGGUCUGCUGGGUGAAGGAGCAGUCGACGCGCUGAGCAAUGACACUGGAAGCGACGGAGACGGGGGAGACCGUGCAUCUAAAGGCGGCUCUGACGCGACCCCCGACCCAGAGCUCGAAGAAGUAAAAGGCGCUCCCGCCUUGGGAGAAGAGGGUGCCGAGGACCCGGGCCCGGAGGGGCCGGGGCACAGCCCGCCUUGCAGGCAGUCCCCUCGUGAGGAGGAGCCCGUGCCCGUGUGCACCAUUUUCAGCCAGUCGUUCGCCCGCUCCCAGCCGCCCCUGCUGCUGCGGGACGGCUUCCAGUCCCAGAUGGUGAAGUCUCCGAGCUGUGGCGGUGCCAGCGACGCGGUGGCCAAGACCCCUCCCCAGGCGGUCCAGCCAAGCCCCAGCCUCAGUAAAUUCUUUGGUGACCCCAGCAACUCUAGUUCCUUGGCCUCGGACUUCUUUGAUUCCUUCACCACGUCCACUUUCAUCUCCGUCAGUAACCCCAACGCGGGCUCUUCCGUUCCCGAGAAACGGUCUUCGCUCUCCACUCCGGUGGGACAGAGAUCCCCGGGUUCCGCUGCGCCCUGUCUCUCCCCAGGGAUUGAAAAGUCAGAGUCCGCCGUUCCCACGGCUUCCCUAGAAAUUCCUCAGUCUCCAAAACCGUUUUCCCAGAUCCAGGCCGUGUUUGCAGGGAGCGAGGACCCCUUUGCCACCGCCCUGAGCAUGAGCGAGAUGGACCGCAGGAGCGAUGCCUGGCUCCCCGGGGAGGGGACCCGGGACAUCUUGAUUUCAGUGGCAACCCAACAGUACAGCACGGUGUUCGUAGACAAGGAGAGCCUCACCAUGCCGGGCCUCAAGUUCGACAACAUCCAGGGGGAUGCAGUUAAAGACCUGAUGCUUCGCUUCCUGGGUGAGAGAGCCGCGGCGAAGAGGCGGGUCUUAAAUGUUGAGUCCGUGGAGCAGACUUUUGUCGGGUUGAAGCAGCUAAUCAGCUGCAGGAACUGGAGGGCGGCGGUCGACCUGUGCGGGCGCCUUCUCACCGCCCACGGCCAAGGCUACGGCAAGAGCGGGCUGCCCACCAGCCACACAGCAGACUCGCUGCAGCUUUGGUUUGUGAGGCUGGCGCUACUGGUGAAGCUGGGCCUCUUCCAGAAUGCCGAAAUGGAGUUCGAGCCCUUUGGAAACCUGGAUCAGCCAGAUCUCUAUUACGAGUACUACCCUCAAGUGUACCCGGGCCGGAGGGGCUCCAUGGUGCCCUUUUCGAUGAGGAUCUUACACGCGGAGCUUCAGCAGUACCUGGGGAACCCGCAGGAGUCACUGGACAGGCUGCACCGAGUGAAGGCCGUCUGCAGCAAGAUCCUGACAAAUCUGGAGCAGGGCUUGGCUGAGGACGGAAGCGUGAACAGCAUCGCACCGGAGAACAGACGAGCCUCCGUUCGGCUGUGGCGGUCGCGCCUGGGCCGGGUGAUGUGCUCCAUGGCAAACUGCCUGCUCCUGAUGAAGGAUUACGUGCUGGCUGUGGACGCCUAUCACUCAGUCAUCCAGUAUUACCCCGAGCAGGAGCCCCAGCUACUGAGUGGUAUCGGCCGGAUCUUCCUACAGAUUGGAGACAUAAAAACAGCUGAGAAGUAUUUUCAAGAUGUGGAGAAAGUGACGCAGAAGUUGGACGGACCACAAGGCAAAAUAAUGGUUUUAAUGAACAGAGCCUUCCUUCACCUCGGUCAGAAUAACUUUGCAGAAGCCCACAGGUUCUUCACAGAAAUCCUAAGGAUUGAGCCGACAAAUGCAGUGGCCAACAACAACGCCGCCGUGUGUCUGCUCUACCUGGGCAGACUCAAGGACUCCCUGCGGCAGCUGGAGGCCAUGGUCCAGCAGGACCCCACGCACUACCUGCACGAGAGCGUGCUCUUCAACCUGACCACCAUGUACGAGCUGGAGUCCUCCCGCAGUGCGCAGAAGAAGCAGGCUCUGCUCGAGGCCGUCGCCAGCAAAGAAGGGGACAGCUUCAACACACAGUGCCUCAAGCUGGCGUAGGACGCUCGCCUUCUGGGGCCACGGGGCCCCUGUGCAGCACGUCCGCCAGAGCGGAUACCCUGACCUGACCGUUGGCUCCGAGGACACCCCUUUCCCCGGGGGCGGGUCGUCUUCACCCAGAGCCACGGCCGGGCCCAGACUCGGCGGUUUGUUAGACUCCAGGCGGCCCGGUGCCCGCGACUCUGCCACGGUUCACGAACGUGGUGUCCGGGAGGCGGGGUCCGUGUGAGGCACCGCGUCCCUUUUAUUCCCGGGAGCUGACCUGCUUCCGCUCUUCAUUCUGACUGUCCACAGAGGAACACUGACCAACCACCCACUCUCUGUAAAUCCUCCAGUCCAGCCAACGCCACACACCUUGGACAGGCCUGGCGGUGGGUGAAAGAAACCACCGUCUCUCUUCAGUGUUUUGUAUGUCACAGGGAGCGGGACACGGGAGCUUCUGAUGCGUAACGCAAGCAGGGGAGAGCACUCGUGCGUACAAGCGGGUGGGCCGGGACGUGUGUCCUCGCGUGGUCUUUCGUCCCGAGGGUCGGGACACGUGUGCAGUAUUUACACAGUAUCGGGGAGGGAGUUUUCUCCUCUACCCUUCUAGGUUCUUCGGUUGGUCUAAUAAACUGACACGAGACAGGUUAACGGGAGACAAGUUUGAUCACAUACAUACAGGGGCCCCAUAAGAAUGUGAGACCCCAGGACGAGCCCGGCAGCGGAGGCUUCUGCCGUCCCGAGCGGAGGAAGGGGUGGAGGCCUGGGGCUUCACGGGACCGUAACGACAACGGAUCUGCGGUCAUGAGAUGUUUGCCCUGCUGUGUGGAUGGGUCAUUCAGAUAAAAGUUCAUAGCCGGUAACAGCUCCCGCCAGGGGCUAGGCCUCCUGUCCGAACCCUUCCAAGAAGCGAGAGGCAAGUUUUUUCUUAAAUCUGCUACAUCCUGAUGGUCUUUAGCUCAAUUUAAUCCACGUGCCAGAGCAGCGUAUCUGGGGGUCGCAUAUCCUCUCCCAGCCUUGGUCCCACCUCUGAAACUUCUGGGCCGAUGGACCGCUCCGGCUCACUGAGCCAGCCUCCCAGUGCCGACGACGGGGUCGUUCGGUUAAGCAGCCGGCUCCGUUUCAGGAGGCUCCCGAGUUAGGUCUGGGGCAAGUCAUCAGAUAUUUAAUAAGAGGCAUUUCUGGGGAGACAAAAGAAAAGCGAAGGUUAAUUUGGGGAGCAGAUCCGGUCUCGGUGAGUUCCGGAGGCAGCCAGCCGCACAGACGUCCAGAUGUCCGGCUUGCGGCAUCUUCGGUGGGGUGAAGCAGACAGCGGAAACGAGACAGACGGGCCUGGCCCGCAGGGAGGCCGUCUGGCGAGCUCUCCAAGCGCCCGCACGGCAGCAGGCACGGCAGUUAUCCACACGUGAGCUGUUGCGGCUUGUCUGAACUUUACGUGACGGUGUCCGGCUGUAACUUGCACGGCUUCAGGGAAAGGGCAGUUCCGGUUCUCAACGAUUCCGAGUCAGAAGGACUGGUGGCGGGGAGGGGGUGAACUGGAAAUGCCAGUUUGGAGAGUUGCAGCCAAAUAUAGGAAGAAAAUAGAAGAACUCGGGAUCUAGUCCAGUUUACAGGUAAAAACAAAACCGCACGGGCCGUUAACCGCACUAGAAUCUGCUGUCCACGAAGGCGUAUUACUGAAACAAUUUCUCUCUACAGUCGCCCCCACAUUCACAGCAAGACUAACUCUGUUUUCACAGUUUCAGUACCUUGGCCUUGUUAUUUACAUAACUGCAGAAGAAGAGUGCUCACCAUACAGACUUUUAAGUCUGCUUUGCUCAGACUUUCCAUAAGGAAUCUCCCGUGAACUUUGAAAGACUCUCCAGGCUGAGAAGCCGCGCUAAGGAGCCAUCAUCAGACUUUGCCUGCAAUACAUACAGAUUUGGGUGAAUUCCUCUCUUCUCAAGGUUCCAAACAUUUCCUGAGAUUCUUGGGCCUGCCAAGAAGCCACCUUCCCUCCUCACCGGGUCAGGCCGCCAGGAACCCUGUAAGCAAGGCUCCAUUAAGGUCAGCCUUAGUUCCUGAAAGCCGAUCAUCUCGGAGUCUUUACACCUCCCUCAAAUAAGACCUUGUGGUCAGAGCCUGGUAAUAUAACCAACAUUCCCAAUCAUGUCCUGUUACAAGAACGGAUUCCUAAAUCACUCAUUUGAGUGGCGGUACAGUUGCACAAGAAUACUAAGUUUGCAAAUUCUGAAGGGGCCAAAGAGGGAGAGCAAUGUUCACCUUUGUUCACAAAGCAAUAUCUUAAAUUGCUGAUCCCAUGAGAAAAGAGAAGGCUUUCUUAAGUUUGGAAAAAGGUAAAGAACAGGCAGUGUUUCAAAGCAGAAGUCGUAAAAUUAUGGUUCUGAAUCCAUUCGGUUCCAUCUAAUACUCAUUCUGCUUGAAUCUAUUCCUCGUUAUUAGUUCUAGAAUUUCUCAUCCCGCUCACUUUCACGAUGUCAGGUCCUACUUGUCAGUCCUUUCCGUGACUCCUUGGAGGGAGGUGCCUUCGCAGGACACUGGCAGGGCACCAAAGUGCGACGACAAGACUCCCGAUGUCAGAGAUCCGACGGGAGUCCGUGACGCGGAACCGACAGAGCUACUUGGUUAUUUCUGAACGUAACAUUCGGAGAGAACUGCGGUUAUGACUGGUGAUGCUAUCCAGGAUAUUCUAGGUGUGUGGGGAUCUCAGAACUUGCAGAACAUUAAUAUUUACCGACACAGUGGGUUAUCAUCAUGUAUUUCACAUGCUUUCCAUAGAAUUUAACACGAUCAAAUAAGCCUAAUUAGCAGAACAUCAUUCUUUGUAUAAGUGAGAACAAACCUUUGGAGAUGUUCAGGGACCCUCUGGAAAUUCUCAAAACUUAGUUCGAGGUCAGUAAAGGCCUAAUUUAGACUUCGAUUUGGGUAAGUCUGUCGAAAACAUCAACACGUUUGGACACUUGACUACAGAGGGUCACAGACCAUUGUGAGACGGUACUUAGUGGUUGAUUUAGUCAAAGUGCCAGAAAACAAAGACCUGGUAAGGCACCAGAUCUUGGCUUUCUGGUGGAUGACUUGAAAAGUAAAGAAACUUUUAUCAACUGUUGUCAACAGCAAACCUGAAGUUCAAGAAAACUUUGUUUUUCAGACCAAAACCAAUUUUGUGCCACUUACUGUUGAUAUUAAAAUUUAAUUGUAAUCUUAGCCAGCUUGGCCACACAUUAAAAUUUCUCUCCAAAGCCUCCUUUUCCACAAACCUACACGUUUCUUUGUCCUCGACAAAAGCACAUCACCAUUCCUCCGACCCUCCUUUUUACAAAAUCAUACUUUCCGUGCAUACGGAGAGGUUUCCUUAAUAUUUCUAGUGGCUUCCAUCAUAUUAGAAUUUUUAAGCCCUAGAAACCCUUAAUUUCUAGUGAAAGCCAACAAGCAAUUGUGAACCGUCACAGGAGCAUUCUCUAGAUCAUAAAAUAUGCUCGGAUUUUCCAAUUUCUAGAGAGACAGGCUUCCUUGUCGUGCAGUUUUGCUUAAUGUGGAAAACAUGUUUACUAAUAGCCCCAAAUAUCCGUUGGCUUCCUUUUAGCGGGGGAAGUGAAAGGAAAUACCUGAGCUCAGCAGUUAGUUUCAGUAAUGACCCAGAUGCUCAAGGAAUUUAUCUUCUCAUCUAACUUAGCAAAGCUUUAAGGUUCCGGGUUACCAAAAUAUCUGGGGAAACGACUUUGCAAGCUCACCCGAGAACUUCUUCAUCCUAGUGUUGGGGGAUCUUUUUUACCUCAAAACCUGGGUUUGCUGUCUCACUGCUUUGAAGAAUGAAGAGGGGGACACAAUAAAACGAGCAGCUGAGAAGCGCAUCAGAGUAUCAGAUCAGAAAGGAAGCACAGCAGGAAAGCGCUCUGUACAGAGGGGGACGUCUGCAAGUGCAUCCCCGGGGGCUCCAGGCAAGAGUCCUUGUUUUAGAAGGUUCUG